UACGUAGGGCGCAAGCGUUGUCCGGAAUUAUUGGGCGUAAAGAGCUCGUAGGCGGUUUGUCGCGUCUGUCGUGAAAGCUUGGGGCUUAACCCCAAGUCUGCGGUGGAUACGGGCAGACUAGAGGCAGGUAGGGGAGAGCGGAAUUCCCGGUGUAGCGGUGAAAUGCGCAGAUAUCGGGAGGAACACCAGAGGCGAAGGCGGCUACCUGGCGCAUUCUUGACGCUGAGGCGCGAAAGCUAGGGGAGCAAACGGG
rnacentral:rRNA from 1 species